GCCGGGUGUGGUGGUACACGUACUACAGAGUCCCAGCUACUCAGGAGGCUGAGACAAGAGGAUCGCUUGAGUCCAGGAGUUCUGGGCUGUAGUGCGCUAUGCCAAUCCAGUGUCUGCACUAAGUUCGGCAUCAAUAUGGUGACCUCCUGGGAGCAGGGGACCAUCAGGUUGCCUAAGGAGGGGUGAACCGGCCCAGGUCAGAAAUGGAGAAGGUCAAAAUCUUAAAUAGAACAAGGGUGUAGCUGAUGCUAAGGCCAGGCCUGAGUGAAGACAGUGUGUCUUCU
ensembl:misc_RNA Metazoa_SRP Metazoan signal recognition particle RNA